rnacentral:lncRNA from 1 species
CCAGCCUAACUUGAUGAAGAAGGCAGAAGAUAGAGUCUGGCUAGAGCUCCCCACGUGUUGUAAUCCGACUAGAUGUUAUCUAUAGUAAUCGACUACAGGUCCUGCCAUGUAACCUUACCUCUCAGAGUAUAUAAGGGGAGGUAGGGGUAUCUCUAGGAGGGGGACUAAUCCAAUCCCUCAACGUACAACAACCAACACCUGAGCACAGGACGCAAUACAAUCCUCCAAACAGGACGUAGGGUAUUACGCUACACUGGUGGUCCGAACCUGUAUAAAUCUCUCUGUUUUGUGCCUUCCGUUACCAUCAAGUUUAUGGUCUUGCGAUCCUCUCUACCUACAAAUUAACCAUCUGGGUACUCCUAGGUAGACUACCGGUCACUAAAUUCGACAGCUGGCGUGCCAGGUAGGGGUGAUCGUAGGAUCCUCCCAAGCGAGUUUGAUGGCAGAAGUCAACGACGUUACGGGUGAGACGUUCCUAACAUUCAUAUAUCAGAUCGAUUUGUUUUCCAAUUUACUAAUUCGAAACCGUGUUUCAUUUCCGAUCUGAUCGUGAGAACUGUGUGUCCCUGAUCGAUGAUCCUCCUGGCAUCACCACGUCAGCGCAUGCAUGCGCAUCGAGGGGCCCUGGCCGAUUUGAGGAGCACGACGGCGCGAGGUAGGCAGCUGCCGUGAUGAUUGUUGCUGGAGUACACGUGCAUGCAGGACGGAUAGCAUGCAUGAGCAACACACGUCGGUAAACCUACACGGAAGAUUCUUUCGGUAUCAUACUUCAAU